rnacentral:rRNA from 1 species
UACGAAGGGGGCUAGCGUUGCUCGGAAUCACUGGGCGUAAAGGGUGCGUAGGCGGAUCUUUAAGUCAGGGGUGAAAUCCCAAGGCUCAACCUUGGAACUGCCUUUGAUACUGAGGAUCUUGAGUUCGGGAGAGGUGAGUGGAACUGCAAGUGUAGAGGUGAAAUUCGUAGAUAUUCGCAAGAACACCAGUGGCGAAGGCGGCUCACUGGCCCGAUACUGACGCUGAGGCACGAAAGCGUGGGGAGCAAACAGG